GUGCUCACUUCAGCAGCACAUAUACUAAAACUGCAACUAUACAGAGAAGAUUAGCAUGGCCCCUGUGCAAGGAUGACAUGCAAAUUCAUGAAGCGUACCAUUUUUGU
ensembl:snRNA U6 U6 spliceosomal RNA